UUGAAUUUUACUUUGUUGUGAUCAGAAUCAUGUAAACGCUUCUACUAUCGACCCUUUUAAAAAACUUUGCAAGCGUUUUAAAGUCAGAGAUGAAAUUAAGUAUGACGGCCAUGUGUGAAACAUUUUAGGUUUUUCAAAACAGAAUAUAAAUGUUUUAAAGACAGUAAUAAAUGUAUGACGGUUUUUAUGAGCUGAUCAGGCUGGUGAUUAUUCCGUAUAUGAUGUUAUCUGAUCAGCGAAUGGAGCGUGGUUGAGGAAAUUACAGCCAAAACCAACGAAGCUGAUGUCGUCACUUGCACUCCAUCCGACACCCAUAACUUUUCUUUGAGGGUUUGGCGAAGUUUUAAACAGUUAUAUCUAAUGAUUUUGAAAAGGAACUGACUCAUCAGGAUGUUCUAAGACAAAAAAUGUUUGUAUGAGAGUCAUAGGAAUGUGAAACCCUAUGGGGAUGACUUAUCAUUCUAGGGGUUGUGUAAAAUUUGCUGAAGUGUGUUUAUCUGAGGCAAUGUGGA